rnacentral:rRNA from 1 species
GACAGAGGGUGCAAACGUUGCUCGGAAUUACUGGGCGUAAAGCGCGUGUAGGCGGACCACCAAGUCGGACGUGAAAGCCCUGAGCUCAACUCAGGAACUGCAUCCGAAACUGGCGGUCUGGAGUAGUGGAGAGGAAAGCAGAAUUCCUGGUGUAGAGGUGAAAUUCGUAGAUAUCAGGAGGAACACCGAUGGCGAAGGCAGGUCUCUGGGCCGAUACUGACGCUGAGGAGCGAAAGCGUGGGGAGCGAACAGG